AACUGAUACUACCUGCGGGAACCUGCGGAAGGAUCAUUACCGAGUUUACAACUCCCAAACCCAAUGUGAACGUUACCAAACUGUUGCCUCGGCGGGAUCUCUGCCCCGGGUGCGUCGCAGCCCCGGACCAAGGCGCCCGCCGGAGGACCAACCAAAACUCUUUUGUAUACCCCCUCGCGGGCUUUUUAUAUCUGAGCCAUCUCGGCGCCUCUCGUAGGCGUUUCGAAAAUGAAUCAAAAC
rnacentral:misc_RNA from 1 species